ACCAUCAAUGUCUGCUUGGUAGAG
rnacentral:siRNA from 1 species